GACAAUUUAAAAACAAGUUUUACAGUACAGGUGCGCAUUUAUUCACGUGGCAGCCUUGUUUCUACAUGUUAUAUACAUUUUGAGUUCUAUUUAAAAAUCAGUAGGGAAACUUCUAUUUGUAGCUUACCAGAGCCAGGUACGUUUCGUUAACUAGUGGGAACAGAAUACUCGUAGGUUAGCUCUCCUUAUUACUGAAGAGUAAUAUUUUUAAAUUACUAGCGCAGGCAGUUGGGUGUGUCUCUUCAACUGGGAAUAUAAUGCAAAGGUUUUGGAUUCCAUUACAGGACUCGCCUGUGAAAAGGUAACAUAAUGAGAGGGCACUGUGUGGACUAGUGGUGAGAAUGUGCCCUGAACCAAAGGCAUCUACAUCCAGCCCUGUCGAAUGAGAACAGGAGAGAAGCAGCCUAAUGGUAGCCAUUUGUAUGGGCCGCAGGCUGGCCUUGAUGAAGCAAACCGGAAAGGAACAUGCUCACUCAUGGGACAGUAGGCAAGAGAGGGGAGUGUUGGACUGUGAAGCUAUUUCAGAACUCUGUUCUCAGGACCCAUUAUUUUAACAGCCAGGAGAAAUACAUGCAGAAGAGCCUGAGUCUCAGGACAUAUGACAUACUACUAGGAAGGAAGAAACUUGCCUGCUUUGUGUUUUUGUCCUUUGCAAUCCCAGGACCCCAUGGGAAUGUACCAGAUGACUUGACUAAAAAGUCAGUGGUGAACACAGCCCCCUUCAGCCCGAUCCAGAGUUUCCUUCUUAGUAUCCACCUCUAUACCUCCUCUAAGUUUUGUGUUUUUCCUAAAAAACUUGCCAGCUGUCUUGCUUGGAAUAGAAGUAUUUAAUAAAAUAAUGGAUUUGUUAAAGUUAUAGUGAAUAAGUCAACUUCUUUGAAUACGUAUUUUCUUUAUUAAUUGGAUAUUCAUUAUUUAUAUUCAUAUGAAAUAACACAAAAAUCAGUUUUAUAGAUUUUCAUAAUCACUUGUCAAGCCAUAUGAAUU
rnacentral:lncRNA from 1 species